rnacentral:rRNA from 1 species
GUGGGGAAUAUUGGACAAUGGGCGCAAGCCUGAUCCAGCCAUGCCGCGUGAGUGAUGAAGGCCUUAGGGUUGUAAAGCUCUUAUGUCCGGGAAGAUAAUGACUGUACCGGAAGAAUAAGCCCCGGCUAACUUCGCGCCAGCAGCCGCGGUAAUACGAAGGGGGCUAGCGUUGCUCGGAAUCACUGGGCGUAAAGGGCGCGUAGGCGGACUCUUAAGUCGGGGGAGAAAGCCCAGGGCUCAACCCUGGAAUAGCCUUCGAUACUGAGAGUCUUGAGUUCGGAAGUGGUUAGUGGAAUUGGGAGUGUAGAGGUGAAAUUCGUAGAGAUUCGCAAGAACACCAGUGGCGAGGGCGGACAACUGUUCCGAUACUGACGCUGAGGCGCGAAAGCGUGGGGAGCAAACAGGAUUAGAUACCCGAGUAGUCC